rnacentral:ncRNA from 1 species
GAAAACGUUGAGACGAGAAGAGUAGUUGUGACGCAGGUUACCAGCGAGUUCCAGUAGGUGGAAAGGAACGAUCUGACGACAACGAAGAUGAUCUCCGAACGGUGUUCAUGAACUUCGGUUAGUGAAUAACGGUUGCGCCCGUUAGCGUUGCCACAGUUUCGUAUAAACGGCACUGUGUGAGUCGAUCAUUGUGAAGUGGUCGAGAAAAAAGGUGGUACCGCGAAAGCAAAACUUCGUCCUUUAU